UAACUUCCCUCUAGACCUAGCUGCUAUAGAUGCUCCAUCUGUAAAUGGAUAAGAUGUUAGCCUUAUUGUAUAAGAGUUAUUGAAAAAUAAAGGAGCAAUAAUUUCCUUCUUAUUCUCUUAAGAUAAGAGGGUCUUAUUGCUCCUUUAUUUAUUUUUUAUUUAGUUAUUUUAGUAGUAAUUGUACUUAAAUAUAGAUAUAUAUUUUUUUUUCAUUUUAAAAAAUUUAAAGAAAAGUAAAGUUCGAAUAUGAAAUAAAAAAAAUAUAAAAAUAGAGUAUAUAAAAAUAGAGUAGAGGGGCGGAUGUAG
rnacentral:misc_RNA from 1 species